rnacentral:rRNA from 1 species
CCUACGGGGUGCAGCAGUGAGGAAUAUUGGUCAAUGGGCGAGAGCCUGAACCAGCCAAGUCGCGUGAGGGAAGACGGUCCUAUGGAUUGUAAACCUCUUUUGCCGGGGAGCAAAAAGCGGUACGUGUACCGCAUCGAGAGUACCCGGAGAAAAAGCAUCGGCUAACUCCGUGCCAGCAGCCGCGGUAAUACGGAGGAUGCGAGCGUUAUCCGGAUUUAUUGGGUUUAAAGGGUGCGCAGGCGGCGAGUUAAGUCAGCGGUAAAAUUUCGGGGCUCAACCCCGACAAGCCGUUGAAACUGGGUGGCUAGAGUGGGCGAGAAGUAUGCGGAAUGCGUGGUGUAGCGGUGAAAUGCAUAGAUAUCACGCAGAACUCCGAUUGCGAAGGCAGCAUACCGGCGCCCAACUGACGCUCAGGCACGAAAGCGUGGGUAUCGAACAGGAUUAGAUACCCCGGUAGUC